UAGGGAAUCUUCGGCAAUGGGGGGCAACCCUGACCGAGCAACGCCGCGUGAGUGAAGAAGGUUUCGGAUCGUAAAGCUCUGUUGUUAAAGAAGAACACGUAUGAGAGUAACUGUUCAUACGUUGACGGUAUUUAACCAGAAAGUCACGGCUAACUACGUGCCAG
rnacentral:rRNA from 1 species